rnacentral:rRNA from 1 species
GAUGAACGCUGGCGGCGUGCUUAACACAUGCAAGUCGAACGGAAAGGCUCCUGCUUGCAGGGGUACUCGAGUGGCGAACGGGUGAGUAACACGUGGGUGAUCUGCCCUGCACUUCGGGAUAAGCCUGGGAAACUGGUUCUAAUACCGGAUAGGACGAUGGUUUGGAUGCCAUUGUGGAAAGUUUUUUCGGUGUGGGAUGAGCUCGCGGCCUAUCAGCUUGUUGGUGGGGUAAUGGCCUACCAAGGCGUCGACGGGUAGCCGGCCUGAGAGGGUGUACGGCCACAUUGGGACUGAGAUACGGCCCAGACUCCUACGGGAGGCAGCAGUGGGGAAUAUUGCACAAUGGGCGCAAGCCUGAUGCAGCGACGCCGCGUGGGGGAUGACGGCCUUCGGGUUGUAAACUCCUUUCGCUAGGGACGAAGCGCAAGUGACGGUACCUGGAGAAGAAGCACCGGCUAACUACGUG